rnacentral:rRNA from 1 species
GCCAGCAGCCGCGGUAACACCGGCGGCCCGAGUGGUGAUCGUGAUUAUUGGGUCUAAAGGGUCCGUAGCCGGUUUGGUCAGUCCUCCGGGAAAUCUGAUAGCUCAACUAUUAGGCUUUCGGGGGAUACUGCCAGACUUGGAACCGGGAGAGGUAAGAGGUACUACAGGGGUAGGAGUGAAAUCUUGUAAUCCCUGUGGGACCACCUGUGGCGAAGGCGUCUUACCAGAACGGGUUCGACGGUGAGGGACGAAAGCUGGGGGGCACGAACCGGAUUAGAUACCCGGGUAGUCCCAGCCGUAAACGAUGCUCGCUAGGUGUCAGGCAUGGCGCGACCGUGUCUGGUGCCGCAGGGAAGCCGUGAAGCGAGCCACCUGGGAAGUACGGCCGCAAGGCUGAAACUUAAAGGAAUUGGCGGGGGAGCACAACAACGGGUGGAGCCCUGCGGUUUAAUUGGACUCAACGCCGGACAACUCACCGGGGGCGACAGCAAUAUGUAGGCCAAGCUGAAGACUUUGCCUGAAUCGCUGAGAAGAGGUGCAUGG